rnacentral:rRNA from 1 species
GACGAACGCUGGCGGCGUGCCUAAUACAUGCAAGUUGAGCGCUGAAGGUUGGUACUUGUACCAACUGGAUGAGCAGCGAACGGGUGAGUAACGCGUGGGGAAUCUGCCUUUGAGCGGGGGACAACAUUUGGAAACGAAUGCUAAUACCGCAUAAAAACUUUAAACACAAGUUUUAAGUUUGAAAGAUGCAAUUGCAUCACUCAAAGAUGAUCCCGCGUUGUAUUAGCUAGUUGGUGAGGUAAAGGCUCACCAAGGCGAUGAUACAUAGCCGACCUGAGAGGGUGAUCGGCCAAAUUGGGACUGAGACAAGGCCAAAACUCCUACGGGAGGCAGCAGUAGGGAAUCUUCGGCAAUGGACGAAAGUCUGACCGAGCAACGCCGCGUGAGUGAAGAAGGUUGUCGGAUCGUAAAACUCUGUUGGUAGAGAAGAACGUUGGUGAGAGUGGAAAGCUCAUCAAGUGACGGUAACUACCCAGAAAGGGACGGCUAACUACGUG